ACUUCUGUGGCUCAGUGGACUAAGCUGUGGAUUUCUACUCUAGAGGUCACAGGUUCGAGUCCCGACAAGAAGGU